AGAGUUAUUUGCAGCCAAGAAUGACUUGCCGGAAUACAUACUUGAAAUGUUGUUUCAUAAUUUCGGCAAGUUGUUUUUGGCUACAUUUGUCUUUCU
rnacentral:pre_miRNA from 1 species